rnacentral:rRNA from 1 species
CCUACGGGAGACAGCAGUGAGGAAUAUUGGUCAAUGGACGCGAGUCUGAACCAGCCAAGUAGCGUGAAGGAUGACGGCCCUCCGGGUUGUAAACUUCUUUUAUCUGGGAAUAAAAGGUGGCACGUGUGCCCUUUUGUAUGUACUUUAUGAAUAAGAAUAGGCUAACUCCGUGCCGGCAGCCGCGGUAAUACGGAGGGUCCGAGCGUUAUCCGGAUUUAUUGGGUUUAAAGGGAGCGUAGGUGGGUUGUUAAGUCAGUUGUGAAAGUUCGGGGCUCAACCGUAGAAUUGCAGUUGAAACUGGAAGGCUUGAGUACAGUAGAGGUGGGCGGAAUGCGCGGUGUAGCGGUGAAAUGCUUAGAUAUCACGAAGAACUCCGAUGGCGAAGGCAGCUCACUGGACUGAAACUGACGCUGAGGCUCGAAAGUGUGGGUAUCAAACAGGAUUAGAUACCCCAGUAGUC